AAUGAACGUUAGCGGCGUGGAUUAGGCAUGCAAGUCGAGCGAGAACCGUAGCAAUACGGGGAAAGCGGCGCAAGGGACAGUAAUGUGUAGAUACCUACCCUCGGGUCCGGGAUAGCUGCGGGAAACUGCAGGUAAUACCGGAUGACAUCUCCGGAUCAAAGGUGUGAUUCCGCCCGGGGACGGGUCUACAUCCUAUUAGCUAGUUGGUAGGGUAAUGGCCUACCAAGGCGAUGAUGGGUAGCGGGUGUGAGAGCACGACCCGCGUCAUUGGGACUGAGACACUGCCCAGACACCUACGGGUGGCUGCAGUCGAGAAUCUUCGGCAAUGGGCGCAAGCCUGACCGAGCGACGCCGCGUGUGGGAUGAAGGCCUUCGGGUUGUAAACCACUGUUAGAGGGGAUGAAAUGCAGGUGGGUUCUCCCAUCUGUUUGACAUAGCCUCAGAGGAAGGACGGGCUAAGUUCGUGCCAGCCGCCGCGGUAAUAC
rnacentral:rRNA from 1 species